GAUGGAGCAACGCCGCGUGAGUGAUGAAGGGUUUCGGCUCGUAAAACUCUGUUGUUGGAGAAGAACAGGUGUGAGAGUAACUGUUCACAUCUUGACGGUAUCCAACCAGAAAGCCACGGCUAACUACGUGCCAGCAGCCGCGGUAAUACGUAGGUGGCAAGCGUUGUCCGGAUUUAUUGGGCGUAAAGCGAGCGCAGGCGGUUUUUUAGGUCUGAUGUGAAAGCCUUCGGCUUAACCGGAGAAGUGCAUCGGAAACCGGGAGACUUGAGUGCAGAAGAGGACAGUGGAACUCCAUGUGUAGCGGUGAAAUGCGUAGAUAUACGGAAGAACACCAGUGGCGAAGGCGGCUGUCUGGUCUGUAACUGACGCUGAGGCUCGAAAGCAUGGGUAGCGAACAGGAUUAGAUACCCUGGUAGUCCAUGCCGUAAACGAUGAGUGCUAAGUGUUGGAGGGUUUCCGCCCUUCAGUGCUGCAGCUAACGCAUUAAGCACUCCGCCUGGGGAGUACGACCGCAAGGUUGAAACUCAAAGGAAUUGACGGGGGCCCGCACAAGCGGUGGAGCAUGUGGUUUAAUUCGAUGCUACGCGAAGAACCUUACCAGGUCUUGACAUCUUCUGCCAACCUAAGA
rnacentral:rRNA from 1 species